UACGGGGGGGGCAAGCGUUGUUCGGAAUUACUGGGCGUAAAGGGCUCGUAGGUGGCCAACUAAGUCAGACGUGAAAUCCCUCGGCUUAACCGGGGAACUGCGUCUGAUACUGGAUGGCUUGAGUUUGGGAGAGGGACGCGGAAUUCCAGGUGUAGCGGUGAAAUGCGUAGAUAUCAGGAGGAACACCGGUGGCGAAGGCGGUUCUCUGGGCAUUACCUGACGCUGAGGAGCGAAAGUGUGGGGAGCGAACAGG
rnacentral:rRNA from 1 species